rnacentral:rRNA from 1 species
AUUGAACGCUGGCGGUAUGCCUAACACAUGCAAGUCGUACGAGAGUUUUUAACUCUAGUGGCGGACGGGUGAGUAACACGUGAGAAUUUGCCUUUAGGAGGGGGACAACAAUCGGAAACGAAUGCUAAUACCCCAUAUGCUUUCGAGUGAAAUGGAUUUUAUCCGCCUAGAGAGAAGCUCGCGGCUGAUUAGCUUGUUGGUAAGGUAAGAGCUUACCAAGGCGACGAUCAGUAUCUGGUUUGAGAGGACGAUCAGACACACUGGAACUGAGACACGGUCCAGACUCCUACGGGAGGCAGCAGUGGGGAAUUUUCCGCAAUGGGCGAAAGCCUGACGGAGCAAUACCGCGUGAGGGAAGAAUGCCUAUGGGUUGUAAACCUCUUUUUUCAGGGAGGAAUCAAAUGACGUGUACCUGAAGAAUAAGCAUCGGCUAACUCCGUG